rnacentral:lncRNA from 1 species
CAGGAUUUUUCACAAUAUUGCAGAAAUUAAAAUUGCAUUUUUGUCAAAAAUCACAAAUUGCAAUAUAAAUGCAAGCAAUAAAUUUUGAAUUAACAGUAGUUUUUAUUUAGUCAUUUCAAUAAGUACGAAAGUAAUUUUUCUACUUGUAUAAAAAAAAACUGAUUUUUCUUGAAAGUACUCUUGGAAAAUAGGAAAGAACUGCCAAAAGUCAAUAUAUAGUUUUAAUUCAUUUACCACAUGGUGGCGCCACUUUUUAUUUUAUGGCAAAUGACACAAAGCAGUUAUAAUAUUUGCAUACAUCUACGUCACACACACACACAAUGAAACAGUAGCCUUAAUUUCAAUUUAUAUUGUUUUAUUUAUAGUUAAAAUGUGUAUAAGACUUUUUCAGAAUUAUAAAAACAGGCAAUUUAUAAUUUCAAUUUAUUAAUCAACUGAUUUUACCAUCAAAAGUUUCAUUAAAAUCUUUCCUAUCUAAAUGGGAAAAGUAAAAAGUAAUAUACUUAAUCUUUUUCAUUCAAAAUGUGAUUUGAAAAUAGCAUGCUAAGAAAUUUAACCCUAAAAAAGUCUAUUCCCAAAAU